rnacentral:rRNA from 1 species
UACGUAGGGUCCGAGCGUUGUCCGGAAUUAUUGGGCGUAAAGGGCUCGUAGGCGGUUCGUCACGUCGGGAGUGAAAACUCGGAGCUUAACUCCGAGCCUGCUUCCGAUACGGGCAGACUAGAGGUAGGCAGGGGAGAGCGGAACUCCUGGUGUAGCGGUGGAAUGCGCAGAUAUCAGGAAGAACACCGGUGGCGAAGGCGGCUCUCUGGGCCUUACCUGACGCUGAGGCGCGAACGCUGGGGAGCAAACAGG